rnacentral:rRNA from 1 species
AGCAGCCGCGGUAAUUCCAGCUCCAAUAGCGUAUAUUAAAGUUGUUGCAGUUAAAAAGCUCGUAGUUGAAUUUCGGGGUUAGUAGAUUGGUCAUGCCUCUGGUAUGUACUGGUCUCACUGAUUCCUCCUUCCUGAUGAACCUUAAUGCCAUUAAUUUGGUGUUUUGGGGAAUUUGGACUGUUACUUUGAAAAAAUUAGAGUGUUUAAAGCAAGCUAACGCUUGAAUACAUUAGCAUGGAAUAAUGAAAUAGGACGUUCGAUCCUAUUUUGUUGGUUUCUAGGAUUGACGUAAUGAUUAAUAGGGAUAGUUGGGGGCAUUAGUAUUCAAUUGUCAGAGGUGAAAUUCUUGGAUUUAUUGAAGACUAACUACUGCGAAAGCAUUUGCCAAGGAUGUUUUCAUUAAUCAAGAACGAAAGUUAGGGGAUCGAAGACGAUCAGAUACCGUCGUAGUCUUCACCAUAAACUAUGCCGACUAGGGAUCGGAUGAUGUUAAUUUUUUAAUGACUCA